rnacentral:rRNA from 1 species
GAUGAACGCUGGCGGCGUGCCUAAUACAUGCAAGUCGAGCGAACGGACGAGAAGCUUGCUUCUCUGAUGUUAGCGGCGGACGGGUGAGUAACACGUGGAUAACCUACCUAUAAGACUGGGAUAACUUCGGGAAAUCGGAGCUAAUACCGGAUAAUAUUUUGAACCGCAUGGUUCAAAAGUGAAAGACGGUCUUGCUGUCACUUAUAGAUGGAUCCGCGCUGCAUUAGCUAGUUGGUAAGGUAACGGCUUACCAAGGCAACGAUGCAUAGCCGACCUGAGAGGGUGAUCGGCCACACUGGAACUGAGACACGGUCCUGACUCCUACGGGAGGCAGCAGUAGGGAAUCUUCCGCAAUGGGCGAAAGCCUGACGGAGCAACGCCGCGUGAGUGAUGAAGGUCUUCGGAUCGUAAAACUCUGUUAUUAGGGAAGAACAUAUGUGUAAGUAACUGUGCACAUCUUGACGGUACCUAAUCAGAAAGCCACGGCUAACUACGUG